rnacentral:lncRNA from 1 species
UUUCAUUCCUGGCCAAUAGAAUAAUUGUUUGAUUCUUUUAUAAGUAUGGUUCAUUCCUGAAUGUCUCCCUAAUGCUGAAGCAUGCAUCAGUUUCAGUAGUUUCUAUCUCAACUCUCCUGUUUUUCCAAUGUAAAUUCUUCUUUUGUACUUUAAGCACUCCUUGUUUAUAAGUGUAUUCAGCCUGUAUUCGAUUUUAUGAGUACUUCUGCUAUAAUUUAUUGAGUCUAUUGAUCCCC